GACGAACGCUGGCGGCGUGCUUAACACAUGCAAGUCGAACGAGAGCGUAGAGAAAGCUUGCUUUUUCUACAAUCUAGUGGCAAGCGGGUGAGUAACGCGUAAACAACCUGCCCUACGGAUGGGGACAACAGCUGGAAACGGCUGCUAAUACCGAAUACGUUCCGAAAGUCGCAUGACUAUCGGAAGAAAGGAUGGCCUCUAUUUAUAAGCUAUCGCCGGAGGAGGGGUUUGCGUCUGAUUAGCUAGUUGGAGGGGUAACGGCCCACCAAGGCGACGAUCAGUAGCCGGUCUGAGAGGAUGAACGGCCACAUUGGAACUGAGACACGGUCCAGACUCCUACGGGAGGCAGCAGUGGGGAAUCUUCCGCAAUGGGCGAAAGCCUGACGGAGCAACGCCGCGUGAGUGAAGACGGCCUUCGGGUUGUAAAGCUCUGUUAUACGGGACGAAUAAUCUUGUGGUUAAUACCCAGGAGAAGUGACGGUACCGUAAGAGAAAGCCACGGCUAACUACGUG
rnacentral:rRNA from 1 species